ensembl:snRNA U2 U2 spliceosomal RNA
AUUCAUUCGCUUAGCCUUUUGUCUAAGAUCAAGUGUAGUAUCUGUUCUUAUCAGUUUAAUAUCUGAUACAUCUUCUGUCCAAGGACAAUGAGAUUCUUUGGAAAUCUGGGAAUGGAACCACCAUUUGACCCAGCUAUUCCUCUUCUCG